rnacentral:rRNA from 1 species
UACGUAGGGAGCAAGCGUUGUCCGGAAUCAUUGGGCGUAAAGAGCGCGUAGGCGGUCCGGUAAGUCGGUUGUGAAAACUGGGGGCUCAACCCUCAGAGGCCGACCGAUACUGUCGGGCUAGAGUCCGGAAGAGGCGAGUGGAAUUCCUGGUGUAGCGGUGAAAUGCGCAGAUAUCAGGAGGAACACCAAUGGCGAAGGCAGCUCGCUGGGACGGUACUGACGCUGGAGGCGCGAAAGCGUGGGGAGCAAACAGG